GAGGAUUUCUACUUAAAUUGUGACGGGGAAGUUAUCCGUCUUGAACAUCCAGAGUUCGAUGUCAGAUUGCAUAAAAACGCUGUGCAGCUUUAUGGAAAAGCCAAAUAGAUGACACUGAAUCAAAAGCAUCCGUUGACUAUAUAUAUUUUUGAAUUUUUUAAAAAAGAUAUACCUCAGUUUUAUCAACGUCUUCAAGAAUAGUGAUACAUUCUUUUUUUGGUAUUCCUUUUUGAAGAAAACAUAAUCCUGAUGAUAUUUCAUUAUUAAAACCUCUAUUAGAAAUAUAUACCUCUAUUAUCAACAUGAAUUUAAUGUAUACAAUGUGAAUUAUGCAUUUUUCGUGAAUUUUGAUGAACAAAAUAUUUUACCUCUAUGAGAAUCAUAUACCUCUGUUAUAAUCAACGUAUCUUUUCAUUAAAAAAACCCAUAUACCUCUAAUUUUAUAAACGUAUUUAUGUAAAUUGUAUUUAUUUUUUUAGGAAAUUAUACAUGUUUUAAUUUAUUUGACAAUACACCCCUAUGAUAUUUUACUACUUGUCGGUAUACAUAUUUGUGAAAUGUAUAUUAUAUAUGUUAUUAUCAGUGUAUUAACAGUUUUUUUUUUUUUUUAUCUUUUUUGAAUUUAUAAAAAAAAGUUAUACAUAUGUUUUGUAAAAAUAAAGGGCAUUUAUAAAACUU
rnacentral:sRNA from 1 species